rnacentral:lncRNA from 1 species
UUCCCUUUAUACUUCUCAAAAUCUGGGAUCUUGAACUUGUGAGGUAUCUGGACAUUCGGCACCAAACAGAGAUCAUAAGCGGUCUUUCCAAAUUUUUCUUUCCCACGGAGAGCCCUCAUUUCUCGAUGCAUUUCAUCAUAUUUUUCCCGUAAGUCAUUCAUUCUAUCAUCGGGCUCCAUGUUCCCUGAAUGGAAGAUGGGUUCUUCAUUUUGUGGAAUGGUAUGCAUCAUAGGUGUUGAAUAAGUCAUGACAACUGGAGGAGCUCUUACAGGAAGCGGAGGAACAUGAGCUACAUAUUGAUGAGUAGGCAUCUGAGUUUCAGAAGCAAUAGGGCAGAAUACUUCACUGAGACAAAUAGGGACACUCCAAGGACGAUCUUCUGGCCUAGAAUUUGGGGAAGUACUGACAGGUAUCGUCCAUUCAGGAAAAAUAGAGACAGUUGCUUUGGCUUGAGUGCUGAUAGGAGGAGGAGGAGGUGGUGGUUGAUUAUGUGCAGCCGUCAAUGCUUUCAUCAAUUCAGUCAUUUCAUCCAUCUUAGUUCGCAUGACUGCCACUCCCUCACGGAGCAAUUGAUUUUCUUGUUUGAGAAACUUCAUCCUUUCUUCAUGAUUGUUCGAGUGUUGUAAAUGCGAGUGAGUUUCAGACGAGGAUGCCAUGACUCUUUGAGAUGGACUGGCCUUUAGUAGAAAAGACACAGUGUAAGACUCUGACUUGAAACUAUGAAUGCAAAUGAUGCAUGCUUAUGCAAAAACAGACACGUUUCUUUUUUGAAGGACUUGUCAAAGUAAUUGUAAACUUGAUAAGGAACAUUGUUUUAUUGUAAAGACGUUGCAAUUGGUUCCCUUUCAAAAGUAAGAACGAAACCAAGGAAAAAGUUCUUAACAAAAGCUAAAGCUUUUUUGAAGUUUUGGGUUUCUUGGUGUUCCUUCUUACAAGGACCAUAUCUUUGAUGUUUACGAAAACUUAUCUAAGUCCUUCGAUAUUUUGAUGAAAAAAAAGAUGAAAUUAUGAAUGCAUGUAUGCAUGAUUAUGCUACACAAACGGUGAAAACACGGUGAUGUUAGGUCCACAAUGUCGGAGCUUAAGGGUAACAACGCCAUUAGGGACUAUGGUUUCAAAUGUACCUGUAUCACGGGUUCUACCAAGUUCCCAAAGUCCUUAACCACUUUCAAAUAUUUAUCAGGUGACGGGACUACUCCCAUUCCAAUAAUAUUUGUAGGAAAGUCUCGUUUGGGUGUAGUAUCGCGUAUCAACCAAUUCAAGACUACUCUUGGUUAGCCACCGCACUACGUCCUAAAAGGCCAAGAUGGGUUAAUGGUAACUAAAGGUCCUCAACAUCGACGGUCACUUGAAAAUACAAUGCCAACACGACCACUCAUGCCGACAUAAAUUACUUCCAAGAUCCCUCCAUUGAGUGGGGUUAUACCACAUGAACCAAAACACGAGACUUGACUCUCGGAAAGGCACUUUGGUUAUACCACCAUCCUAUCUUAUGUUUCCCUCAAGCCCGGGUGUAGGACUUAUCUCACCACUCACGUUUAGAAAGAAGAAAGAAGAAGGAAGAACAUAUAUACACGUAUUUCCAUCUUUUAUUUUUGUUUUAGUUUUAAGCAAGUUAUAGCACAAAGAGUUAAAUAAAGCCAAGUUAGGCUCAACCCUCUUAGGGGAUCCCCAGUGAAGUCGCCAUUUCUGUCGCGUCAUUUUUUGGAGAUCAAGGCUAUUUGAUUAGCUUUUGACUCACUAAUUAUUUCACGACUGAACAUUUAAUUUUUUAAGAAAAGGGGAAAAAAUUUCAAACUACCCCAUUUUGAAAAGAUUUAGGGUUCGGGGGUUAGUUACAUAAAGGGAAGGUGUUAGCACCCUUUAUGUCCGUAGUACUCUACGGGAACCUCUUGGUUUUUAUUUAAUUUUCGUGCUAUAACUUGCUUGCUUUUGAAAAGAAGGAAUUAAUGUGAUGAAAAAGAAAAUAAAGUGAGACCUAAUUUAUCUACAUUUUUUAUUGUUUGAAAGGACAUGGUCCUCUGCCUACGUACCCGUGAAGGAUCAAAACCUCGUAGUUCGGGGUAGAAAUUGACGUUUGAUUUGUUGAGUGUUUUUUAUUAAUUUUGAAAAAGGUUUUAAAAUGAAAAGCCAAGUGGCAAAUAAGAAUUUGUUUGUGUUUUUUAUAUUAAAGAAAAUGACUUAAAGUUGAAUUAAAGUUGAUUGAAAUUUGAUAAAAAUAAAAAGAGACGAUCACUUGAUUUAGGAUCAAGGUUUGUUUAUGAAAAUAUUUUUGUGAUUUUUGUUAUUUGCAUGUUUUUGUUGUUUUUGAAUAAUUGGACUAAAAAAUUAAACUAACGGAGCAUAAAAAUAAAAAAACGUAGGUACCUCAUGGGGUAUUGGACCACCACCUUUGACCUAAACUACAAAGCAGAUAAGAGACAUACACACACAUGCACCUACGACUAUUACAUAAAAGCCUAUUUACAUUCUAAGGUCUGCAGAAAAUAAAUGACAAGAAAAAUAAAUAAAUUAUUUACAUCAAUGCCUAUUGUACAUUCUAAAUCAAUGCAAGUAAAUAAAAGAUAUAAAAUAAAUAUGUGAAUGCUGAUAAAUAAUAAGAUAAAAGAAAAUAAAAAUGCUAAAGAAAAAAUAAAUGCAAGGGAAAUUUAAAAACGCAUGAAAACGGUAAAAAAAGAAAGAUGAUGGGGGUGCAGGUAGUAAGCAGGGGGGGUGCAGGAAGUAAAAAAAGAAUUGGGCUUCAUGGAGAGGCUUGGGCGCGCUUAGUGGGCUUAAACCGGUUUGGUUCAGGCCUGAAUCGGUUCAGGAGAACCAAACCGGUUCAGGGGGCUAUAUAAAGGGUGUAACGGUUUUUUCACUCAUUUCCUACAUCCCUUUCUCUCUCUUCCCUUUUUCUUUCCCUCAUAUGCUCUCUCCUCUCUCUUACUCCUUCUUUCUUCUCCGACCAGCAUGAGUUUUCCGGCGCGGUGGUCGCCGGCCUAGGGUGGUGGCGCCGCCGCGCCGGAGACAAAACAUCUCCCCUUUUUUUUUUAAAUUUUCGGUUUUCCUACCUAUUUUCUCUUCUCUAUCCGUUUCUAGCCUUAAAAUUUCCCAACACUAAGCCUAGGCUUCUAGAUCUAAAAAAAAAGAGGAAAACUACCUUUGGUUACAGCUUCGGUUCAGCUUUGUGUUAAUUCGUUUUGAUUCCUGGUUCGUGUUUGGCUUGUGCUGCUGCGUGUUUGGGGUUGUGUCGCUUCUGUGUGUGUGUGUUUGUUGGGUUGUGCGCCUCUCUCUGUGUUGUGGUGUUGCUUCCUGUGCGUGUGUGUUUUGUUGUGUUGCUGCGUGUUGAUGCUGUGUUGCGAUUCCGUUUCCUCUAUUGUUCCUGUGUGUUUUUGAUUGUGUUUGGCAGGUUGCAAUUUAUAGUGCUGGGAUUUGGGUUUAGGGUUUGUUAAAAGAGUAGAUAAAUGUGGCUUUGGAUUGAGAUGAAGAACACGACUGGAUUUGGAUUGAAUGAGCAUGGGAAACGCGUUUGCACUGGCGUGACAGACUAUUUUUUUUUUUAUUGAAAAGAAAAAAACGUGUUUAUGCAUCUGGACCACUUUUUGGAUUUUUUGACACUUUUGGACUUAUCUCUUAAAUUUUUUUUAAAAAAUGAAAUAAAUAAUAAAAUAAAAAGGAAAUAAAAUUUACAUUUUCGGUUUUUUUUUGAUAAAAAUAAAAAAAAAUAAAAACAAAAAUAAAAAAUGAAAUUUGGAUUUAAUGGGAAUAAAAAGAAAUUAAAUUAAAUUUAGACUAAAGUUAAAAUAAAAAUUUAAAAGAUGGAAAUAAUUUUAAAGACUGAGAUAAGAGGGCCCGACUCAGAACAAAAUGAGGUAUUUUAAAAUACCUUCCUGCCGAAUUUUUCACUGAAACGUGAGACCGAUCAGGGUUAAAUGGCGCGUGUCAGUGGGAUCUUGGGUCAAAAAUUGGGGUAUGACAGUGGUGAAAUGCAACCUACACCCAGAAAGGCCUCUAAGACAGUCCCUGAAAAGACUGUUUUGGAAAACCAACAAACAGAAACCCAAACAGAAACUCAAACCAUCCCUGAGCAAACUGUUCCUGAACAUACUUGUCGCGUCAUUUAUUGGAGAUCAAGGCUAUUUGAUUAGCUUUUGACUCACUAAUUAUUUCACGACUGAACAUUUAAUUUUAUUAAGAAAAGGGGAAAAAAGUUCAAACACCCCAUUUUGAAAAGAUUUUGGGUUCGGGGGUUAGUUACAUAAAGGGAAGGUAUUAGCACCCUUUAUGUCCGUAGUACUCUACGGGAACCUCUUGGUUUUUAUUUAAUUUUCGUGCUAUAACUUGCUUGCUUAUUUUGAAAAGAAGAAUUAAAGUGAAAAAAGAUAAAGACCUAAAUAUCUACAUUUUUUAUUGUUUGAAAGGACAUGGUCCUCUACCUACGUACCCGUGAAGGAUCAAAACCUCGUAGUUCGGGGUAAAAAUUGACGUUUGAUUGGUGGUGUGUUUUUUAUUAGUUUUGAAAAAAAGGUUUUAAAAGGAAAAGCCAAAUGGCAAAAUAAAUUUGUUUGUGUUUUUUUAUGUUAAAAGAAAAUGACUUAAUGUAUGAUUAAAGUUGAUUGCAAUUUGAUUUAUGAAAGAAUAAAAUAAAGACGAUCACUUGAUUUAGGAUCAAGGUUUGUUUAUGAAAAUGUUUUUGUGAUUUUUGAAUAAUGGCUAAACUAACGGAGCAAGAAAAUAAAACGUAGUAACAUAAGCAGAAAAAUAAAGCAUACACCCACACACGCACACAUGCAUGACUUACAUUAAAGCCUAGAUACAUGCUAUGGUCUGCGAAAAGUAAAUGACGGAAAAAAUAAAUAAUUUACAUUAAGCCUAUAUUUACAUUCUAAUAUCCUUGUUGUAGAAAUAAAUGACAUAAAAAAAAAAAAAGAAUAAUGAAUUUAAUUCUAAAAUGCAUGCAGAACUUAAAAUAAAAUAAAAUUGGUUCAAUCACAAGGUGGGGUGCAGCAGUAUUAUGGGGUGUGCAGAAUAGUAAAACAAAAAAGAAACUGGGCUCAGAGGCGCGCGUUGGGCCUCACGGGUUGGGGAAUUGGGCUUAAACCAGUUCGGUUCAAACCUGGUUCGGUUCACCUGAACCGAACCGGUUCGAGGAGAACAUAUAUAUGUGGUGUGCCGGUUUUCUCUUCAUUUGUUCAUUCCAUUUCUCUCUCUUAUCCCUCAAAUUCUCUCUUCUCUCUCUGUUUCUUUCUUCUUCUCUGGUUGGAGAUGGGGUGGCCGGAGGCGGUUCCGACGCGGCGGUCGGCGAGCCAUCGCGGCUGCGCCGCCGCGUCGGAGACAAAAACUUGUCCUUUUUUUUAUUUUUUUUCGGCUUUUUCUUUCUUUUCCUUCCCUAGUUCCGAUUUCAGUCUCAGAAUUUUAAAAUGAACUACCCACAGUCCUAGAUCUAGAUCUAGAGAGACAGCAAAGUGAAAAAGGGAUACUAAGGGAUACUACCUUUAUGUUAAACCUUUGAUUCGGUUUUGUUCCGAUUAGGACCUCGAACUUUGACGGAUUUGUGAUGGUUGCUUCGUUGAUGUUGUUCCUUGUUGGUUUUGCUUUCCUGCGAAUUUCGGCCCCUUUUCUGUGUGCGCGCGUUGCUGGCCGCUUUUCUCGGUGUUUCCCUCUCUGGUUUCUGUGUGUUUGCUGUGUUUCCUCUGUUUCUGUGUCUCUGAAUUUCGGCCGUAAAAAAAUGUUGGUUUCUUUGUGAAUUCCCGGCCCUUUCACUUGUUGAUUUGCAGGUUGUAUUUAUAGUCAAGGGAUUAGGGAUUAGGGUUUGUUAAAGGAUGCAGAAAAUCUGCAUUUUGGAUUGGAAUGAAAGCUGGUUCUUGGAUUUGGAUGGAAGAACGCGUGACAGACUUUUUGGAUUGAGACCUUUUUUUGAUUUUUUUUUAUAGCUAAAAUAAAAUAAAAAAUGAAAAAUAAAAGAUAACACAUACUUGGACUUUGGACUUAUCUUGACUAAUUAAAAUAAAAAGAUUUAAAAAGAGUUAAGUUUAAGACAAAAGAUGGAAAUAAAGAUCAAAAUGAAAAUUGAGAGAGGAGGGUCUGAUUCGAAUCCAAAAUGAGGUAUUUUAAAAUACCUCUCUGCCGAAUCUUUCAUUGAAAAAUCAAGGAUUGAUCAGGGUUAAACGACACGGGUCAGUGGGAACUUAGGUCAAAAAUUGGGGUAUGACAGAUGCCCCUAUUUAAGUUUCUUCGUCCAGAGAUUUGAAGAUGAAAUCUUUGAUUUGAUGGGCCGAAGAGACUUAAAUAUAAAAGUACUCCAAUUUUGACCUAAGAUAUUAUGAAUGCUCAUGAUGUAAUUAUGAAUGCAUGACGACAAAGAUGUCUUGACUGUAAUGAGAAAAGACAACGGGAUACCCAAAUUCUUUUAGAGAGGGAUCCGACUCCACUAGGGGGGAAUGUAGUUGCACUGGGGAAAAUGAUUGUCUAUGACAGUUUAAUGGAGGCAAGAUUUUUAGUGACACUUUUUGACUUGAUAAAAAGGUUUGCGAGAGUCCACUCGGCUUGGUAAACAUAUGCGAGAAUCCACUCGGCUUGAUAAGCAUCUGCGAGAAUCCACUCAGCUUUUGAUAAACAUUCGCGAGAAUCCACUCGGCUUUUGAUCAACAUUUGCGAGAAUCCACUCGGCUUUUUGAUAAAAGGUUUGCUGGAAUCCACCAGGCUUUUGCGAGAAUCCACUCGGCUUUUGAUAAACAUUUGCGAGAAUCCACUCGGCUUUUUGAUAAAAGGUUUGCUGGAAUCCACCAGGCUUUUGCGAGAAUCCACUCGGCUUUUGAUAAACAUUUGCGAGAAUCCACUCGGCUUUUUGAUAAAAGGUUUGCUGGAAUCCACCAGGCUUUUGCGAGAAUCCACUCGGCUUUUGAUAAACAUUUGCGAGAAUCCACUCGGCUUUUUGAUAAAAGGUUUGCUGGAAUCCACCAGGCUUUUGCGAGAAUCCACUCGGCUUUUGAUAAAAGGUUUGCUGGAAUCCACCAGGCUUUUGCGAGACUUGAAACAAGAUAAAAAGUAAACUCAAGCGUCCGUUGGUGGACUGGUGACUUGAAACUGACAGGUGACAUCUCUGGACUAGACACACUUGGGAUGACACUUUGAUGAUAAGAAGGUAAAUGGAAGAUGUUCAUUUGUAGAAACUUGAGGCACAUGGUGAUAAGUUAAGGCCGAACUGAAGAGACACGACUGAAACGAUAUUCUGGAUGACUGAUGCAAUUAUGUGUGAAUUGAUGUUAUGCAUAUGCUGCGUACGCAAAAACGUAUGAAUAUGUGAAAAAUAUUGAUGAAUGCAUGAUUGUAUGAAUGUAUGGAUGUGUGAAUGUAUGAAUGUGCGACUACAUGACUAUAUAUGACAUGUGACUCGAUGAACGGAGACGAGACAGGUAAGAUGGGAGAUGGACUGACAUCGUAGUACACACACUCGGCGAACUUCCUUGGAGAUGAUACUAUUGUGAACAAAACGGGCCGUCGACGGUGUAAGAACCAGGCACAAGGUAGCAACUGAUGCCUCUUGGGGGUAAAGCCCAUUGUUGAUAAAAAAGUAUGGAAGAAGUCACCAUUUGUGAACCGGCAUAGAGUGUUCUUCCUUUGGUAUGCUUCAGCAGUCAUGCUUUUUGUUUUAUUAUUAUUUUUUUUGAAAAUCCCUAACUUUUGCCUGGGCCGCCCUUUCGGGUUUUCAGUCCAUCGGGAAUAUAUUCUUUUUUCUGCCCCUAAUUUUUGCCUGGAUCGCCCUUUCGGGUUUUCAGUCCACCGGGACGCUCUCUAUUGCUUAAGUCGCCUUUUCAGGUUUUCAACUUAGCGAGCUUUGAUUUUUUUUUUGUAUUUUUCGACUGUGACAGCAUCUUGCUCAACGUAGAGGUCCUUUCCAUAGUGCUUAGCCAUGUUUCUCUUCUGGAGUGUAACUGCUCUUGAGGCGGAUGCUGAUGCACGCUUCACCUACUCACGAGUUCAAAGAGAGUGUGUUUGUUGUUCAAACUAUUCAAAAGAUGUAAAACAAGUUUUUUAUUUUUGAAUUUUUUUUUUUGCUUUAAGUACUGCCAAUAGAAGAAAUUUAUGCAAAUAGAAUAAAUGAGAGUUUCAAAUAAAUGGGCACAGGCUCAAAUUUCGAAUGAAUUGAGUGGUGACCUACCAAAGGCAUGGAUCCACGGAUUUUUGAAAAUUUUGGAAAAAUGGUAAAUGUAAUGGGAAGGGUACAUUGAACACAGUAACCACUAUUCUCCCUAACAAUCUUGAAUGCCCCUGUUCCGAGUCUUUGAUCUGCAGAUGCUUCGAAUCGGAGGUGUUUUGAUAGUCAAGAUGCCCCAAGUGGGUUGUGUCUGAUCGGAUGCAGUUACUUUGUCUUUUGAUCCUUAACUUUUGCAUAGAUCGCCCUUUCAGGUUUUUGAUCUAUCAGGAUAAUCAUUUUUUGUUCUUGUCUCUAAUUUUUGCCUGGACCGCCCUUUUGGGUUUUCAGUCCACCGAGACGCUCAUUUUUGCCUAAGCCGCUUUUUUCAAGUUCGCGACUUAUCCAGCUUUUAUUUUUUGACAGAGUAUCCCUUGACUGCACCGGCUUGCGGGUUUGUCAACAUCCAUAGUCGCAAGAGUCUUUGCACACAGGCCUUCAUAGUUAGGCAUCCACUUGCCCCUGGAGUCUGGUUGGAAAGGUAGUACCUUUUUGGGCACAAAGUCUCUUUCUUGAAUUUCACGGGGACGAACCUUCUUGUUGUAUACUUGAGGGAAGGAGGGGAGUUGCCCCUGUUGAAAUGUGUACUGAAACAAGAUAUCCGAGCAAAGCGAGUGGUAGCACCUCGAGCCAGUCUUUGUAAGCAAUUGCCAUUUUCUGGACUAUCUUUAUGAUUUUUGUAGCUUUGACGGCUAUGAUGCCCCAGCAUGUGAGAGAUCAUGUCGGGAGUCUCUUCAUUCUUAUCUUCUUCAGCUUCGGAUACAGGGAACUCAAAGUUUGAAGAGAUUUCAUGGUUAAUGUGUUCAACGGGUUUAUUAAUGCAUGAUUUAUUGUUGAUUUUUGACAAGCAAGUACAAGUUAUGAUUAUGCAAAUAUUUGAGAAUGAUUAAAGAAAAAAAAAAUUGGUUCUUUGUAUUACCAUUUUUCCAGAAAAAGCACAAAAUAAAACAAAGUUGGGAUCAAAACGACAUUUUUAUUAAUGAUGACAAUUCUGAAAGAAAAAAGCCCUACACCAGUUCACUUUCAUCUCGGGCGGGACGAAAGGAUGUUUUUAUUUUUGAAAAGGUAGUAAACAAACAAACAUAACACUGGAAACAAAUCGAGUAGCAGAAGAAGACAUAAACAUCAACCCAAUUGCGGCUAAUCCCUCUUUAUGUUGCAACAUUUAGAUAUCAUGACCCAGUAGUGGAUUGGCUUGCACAUUUGGAGUCAAGUUCUAGAAAGUCAGGCGGUUGGUCCUGAUCAAAUCUUGGACCGCAUUCUUCAUUGCAUUGCAGUGUUCAAUAUCAUGGCCAGGUGCCCCUUGAUGGAAGGUACAAAAAAGGUCAGGUCUAUACCAUGCUGGCAAUCUUGCUGGUACCGGAGGAGGCGCCUUGGUUUGGACAAGAUUCUUUUUGAGCAAUUGUGGAAGCAAAUCCGCAUAUUUCAUGGGGAUCGGGUCAAAUUGUGUCCUUGAGGCCUGUUUUUGAGACUGCUGUUGAAGUUGUGGAUGGUAACCCGGCUGUUGAAUGGCACUGGCAGCGGGUGUGACUGUAGCAACAUGUUGAUGAGCCGAAUAUUUUUGUUGAGGCCUUCCAUGGGCCACCACACUGGCAGAAGUUUCAUCUCUAACUAAACGUCCUUCUCGGACUCCUUCUUCCAACUGUACACCCAUACCGACCAUCUCAGCAAAGUUCUUGGGCGUACUUCCGACCAUCUUCUCGUAGUAGAACUGAUUGAGAGUUUUUAAGAAGAGUUUGGUCAUCUCUUUCUCUUCUACACACGGGAUGACUUGGGCAGUGGUAUCCCUCCAUCGCUGGGCAUACUCCUUGAAUGUUUCCUUAUUCUCUUGAGUCAUUGCCUGAAGAUCGCUUCGGUCUGGAGCCAUAUCCACAUUAUAACUGUAUUGUUCCACAAAAGCUUCACAUAGAUCACGAAAAGUUUGGAUUCUUGUUUCGUCUAGAUUCGUGUACCAUUUUGAGGCGGGACCAGCCAAACUCUCUUGGAAGUAAUAAAUAAGGACCUGAUCGUCCCGAGCAUAUGCAUACAUUCUUCUUACAUACAUUUUCAAAUGUUCCUCAGGGCAGGAGUUCCCUUUAUACUUCUCGAAAUCAGGGAUCUUGAACUUGUGAGGUAUCUGAAUAUUCGGCACCAAACAGAGAUCGUAAGCGGUCUUUCCAAAUUUUCCUCUCUCGCGGAGAGCCCUCAUUUCUCGAUGCAUUUCAUCAUAUUUUUCCUGCAAGUCAAUCACUCUAUCAUCGGGUUCCAUGUUCCCUGAAUGGAAGAUAGGUUCUUCAUUUUGUGGAAUGGUAUGUAUUACAGGUGCUGAGUAAGUCAUGACAACUGGAGGAGCUCUUACAGGA